rnacentral:rRNA from 1 species
ACGUGAUCUGAGUUCAGACCGGAGUAAUCCAGGUCAGUUUCUAUCUAUAAAAAGUUUUUUUCAGUACGAAAGGACCAAAAAAACAUGGCCAAUGUCUAACACAAGCCAUCUCUAGUAACCUAUGACCCAAACUUAACAGGCAAUUAGAUUUUUAUUGAACUCAAAACAAGAGC